AUUGAACGCUGGCGGCAGGCCUAACACAUGCAAGUCGAGCGAGCGGCGGACGGGGGCGUAAUGUCUGGGAAACCGCCUGAAGGCGGGGGAUAACUACUGGAAACGGUAGCUAAUACCGUAUACCAUCAGAUGUGCCAAGGUGGCAUUAGCUAGUAGGUGGGGUAAUGGCUCACCUAGGCACCGAUCCCUAGCUGGGCUGAGAGGAUGACCGGCCACACUGGAACUGAGACACGGUCCAGACUCCUACGUGAGGCAGCAGUGGGGAAUCUUGCACAAGGGGCGAAAGCCUGAUGCAGCCAUGCCGCGUGUGUGAAGAAGGCCUUCGGGUUGUAAAGCCCUUUCAGCGGGGAGGCGUUACCCGCAGAAGAAGCACCGGCUAACUCCGUGCCAGCAGCCGCGGUAAUAC
rnacentral:rRNA from 1 species